GUGCUCGCUUCAGCAGCACAUACACUAAAAUUGGAAUGAUACAGAGAAGAUUAGCAUGGCCGCUGCACAAGGAUGACAUGCAAAUUCGUGAAGCAUUCCAUAUUUUU
rnacentral:snRNA from 1 species